rnacentral:rRNA from 1 species
UACGUAGGGUGCGAGCGUUAAUCGGAAUUACUGGGCGUAAAGCGUGCGCAGGCGGUUCGCCAAGUCAGGUGUGAAAUCCCCGGGCUUAACCUGGGAAUUGCGCUUGAAACUAGCGGGCUUGAGUGCGGCAGAGGGGGGUGGAAUUCCACGUGUAGCAGUGAAAUGCGUAGAGAUGUGGAGGAACACCGAUGGCGAAGGCAGCCCCCUGGGUCGACACUGACGCUCAUGCACGAAAGCGUGGGGAGCAAACCGG